rnacentral:rRNA from 1 species
CCUACGGGAGGCAGCAGUGGGGAAUUUUCCGCAAUGGGCGCAAGCCUGACGGAGCAAGACCGCGUGGGGGAGGAAGGUCUGUGGAUUGUAAACCCCUUUUGUCAAGGAAGAACACAAUGACGGUACUUGACGAAUCAGCAUCGGCUAACUCCGUGCCAGCAGCCGCGGUAAUACGGAGGAUGCAAGCGUUAUCCGGAAUGAUUGGGCGUAAAGCGUCCGCAGGUGGUUAUACAAGUCUGCUGUCAAAGCGCAAGGCUCAACCUUGUAAAGGCAGUGGAAACUGUGUGACUAGAGAGUGAUAGGGGCAGAGGGAAUUCCCAGUGUAGCGGUGAAAUGCGUAGAGAUUGGGAAGAACACCGGUGGCGAAAGCGCUCUGCUGGGUCAUAUCUGACACUGAGGGACGAAAGCUAGGGGAGCGAAAGGGAUUAGAUACCCCUGUAGUCCUAGCCGUAAACGAUGGAAACUAGGCGUUGUUCGUAUCGACCCGAACAGUGCCGGAGCUAACGCGUUAAGUUUCCCGCCUGGGGAGUACGCUCGCAAGAGUGAAACUCAAAGGAAUUGACGG